UACGUAGGUGGCAAGCGAUACUCGGAAUCACUAGGCGUAAAGCGCAGGUAGGCGGUUUGGUAAGUCUUUUGUGAAAGCUCCUGGCUCAACUGGGAGAGGUCAAGGGAAACUACCGGACUAGAGUGUGGUAGGGGAUACUGGAAUUCCUGGUGUAGCGGUGAAAUGCGUAGAUAUCAGGAGGAAUACCUAUGGCGAAGGCAGCUCUCUGGUACAUGAUUGACGCUGAGACGCGAAAGCGUGGGGAGCGAACAGG
rnacentral:rRNA from 1 species